rnacentral:rRNA from 1 species
AUGAACGCUGGCGGCGUGCCUAAUCCAUGCAAGUCGCGCGAACAGACGAGGAGCUUGCUCCUCUGACGUUAGCGGCGGACGGGUGAGUAACACGUGGAUAACCUACCUAUAAGACUGGGAUAACUUCGGGAAACCGGAGCUAAUACCGGAUAAUAUAUUGAACCGCAUGGUUCAAUAGUGAAAGACGGUUUUGCUGUCACUUAUAGAUGGAUCCGCGCCGCAUUAGCUAGUUGGUAAGGUAACGGCGUACCAAGGCAACGAUGCGUAGCCGACCGGAGAGGGGGAUCGGCCACACUGGAACUGAGACACGGUCCAGACUCCUACGGGAGGCAGCAGUAGGGAAGCUUCCGCAAUGGGCGAAAGCCUGACGGAGCAACGCGGCGUGAGUGAUGAAGGUCUUCGGAUCGUAAAACUCUGUUAUUAGGGAAGAACAAAUGUGUAAGUAACUAUGCACGUCUUGACGGUACCUAAUCAGAAAGCCACGGCUAACUACGUG